GGCAUGGAAUCUGCUGGCAUUCAUGAAACCACCUAUAACAGCAUCAUGAAGUGUGACAUUGAUAUCAGAAAAGACCUCUAUGCA